rfam:Eucalyptus grandis cultivar BRASTZ1 unplaced genomic scaffold scaffold_9, whole genome shotgun sequence.
CUCAUGGAAAGUUUGAUCCUAGCUCAGGAUGAACGCUAACAACAUGCUUACCAUAUGCAAGUAGGACGAGAAGUGAUGUUUCCAAUGGCAAAUUGGUAAGUAACACAUAAAAAAACUGCCCUUAGGAGGGGAAUAACGGCUGGAAACAGCUAUUAAUACCCCAUAGGUUGAAGAGCAAAAGGAGCAAUUCACCCAAGUAGGGGAUCAAGUUUGAUUAGCUAGUUGGUAAGGCAAUAGCUUACCAAGAUGAUGAUCAGUAGCUGGUCCGAGAGGAUGAUCAACCACACUAGGACUGAGAUACAGCCCAGACUCUUACAAGAGGCAGUUAGUGGGGGAAUUUCCCACAAUGGGCAAAAGCUUGACGAAUUAAUGCCACGUUGAGGUAGAAAGCUCCGGAUCAUGAACUUAUUUCCUUGGAGAAGAAGUAAUGAUGAUAUCUAGGGAAUAAGCAGUAGCUAAGUCUAUGCGAACAUCUACAGUAAUACAAAGGGUGCAAAUGCUAUCUAGAAUGAUUAAAUGUAAAGCGUCUAUAAGUGUCUUUUUAAGUUCGCCGUCAAAUCCCAAGGCUCAACCCUAGUUAGGCAAUGGAAAUUACCAAGUUGGAGUAUGAUAGGGCAGAGGAAGUUUUCAGUGGAGCAGUGAAAUGUGUAGAGAUCAGAAAGAACUCCAACGACGAAAGCACUCUACUAAGCCGACACUAACACUAAGAGGUGAAAGUUAGGGCAACAAAUGGGAUUAAAUCCUCUAGUAGUCCUAGCCAUAAACAAUAGAUAUUAAGCAUUGUGCGUAUCAACUCAAAGGAAUUGAAGGGGGCCCACACAAGCCGUGAAGCAUGUGAUUUAAUUCAAUGCAAAGCGAAGAACUUUACCAGCACUUGACAUGCCGCGAAUCCUCUUGAAAGAGAGGUGUGCCUUCGAGAACGCGGACACAGGUGGUACAUGGCUAUUGUCAACUCAUACCAUAAUGUGUUAUGUUAAGUCCCGCAACAAGCACAACCCCAUGUUUAGUUGUCACCAUUGAGUUUGGAAUCCUGAAUAGAUUGUCGAUGAUAAGCCGAAGGAAUGUGAAGAUGACGUCAAGUCAUCAUACCCCUUAUGCAAUGGGCGACACAUGCUACAAUGGCCGAGAUAAAGGAUCGCAAUCCCGGGAGGCUAAGCUCACUCCAAAAACUCAUCCUUACUUAUGAUUGUAGGCUGCAACUCACCUGCAUGAAGUUGGAAUCGCUAGUAAUCACCGGUCAGCCACACGGCAGUGAAUUCAUUCUCAAGCCUUACACACACCACCCUUCACACUAUGGAAGCUAGCUACGCUCGAAGUUGUUACCUUAACUAUAAGGAGGGGGAUGUCGAAGGCAAGGUAAGUGACUGGAGUGAAAUCAUAACAAGGUAGCUAUAUCGAAAGGUGUAGCUAGAUAACCUCCUUU